rnacentral:lncRNA from 1 species
CUUGACCCACUUGAUCUUAUUUAUCAUGUCCUGUUACGUUGUAUUUAAACACACUCUACAACCUUGGUCUGUCGUAUACCAUCAGGGCACGAAGCAGGACUGCCUCACUCACCCAUCGUAUACCGCCAGGGUAUGAGGUAAUACUGCUUCACUCACUCAUCGUAUACCGUCAGGGCAUGAGGUAAUACUGCCUCACUGACUCAUCGUAUACCGUCAGGGCAUGAGGUAAUACUGCCUCACUGUCUCAUCGUAUACCGUCAGGGCAUGAGGUAGUACUGCCUCACUCACUCAUCGUAUACCGCCAGGGCAUGAGGUAAUACUGCCUCAAUCACUCAUCGUAUACAGCCAGGGCAUGAGCUAAUACUGCCUCACUCACUCAUCGUAUACAGCCAGGGCGUGAAGCAAGACUGCCUCACUCAGUCAUCGUAUACAGCCAGGGCAUGAGCCUCCCCACUAAGGCAGGGCGACCGCGAGUACUGGACUGAGUGGUACGACGUGGACGACCCAGUGAGCGGCGACGGCGACUACGAAACGGUUCAGUCCAUCACCAGGGCUCUGAGACGGAAUAUCUGCCCAUCAACUCACAGAAUCACCAGAGCUGACUGCGAUGUCGACAACGGUGACGUCGACGACAUCGUGAGGGAAGACAGUCUGGCUCCACUGCGGGUCUAGCCUGCAGGAAUAGUGACCAGACUUCUGGAAUAUGCAAUAACUACAGAAUAAGAUUCUUCUGUCAGCCACUAAACAGGGUCCACACGAAAGGAGACACGACACAAGACGAGGACGAGGAAGGGAAUGGUACAAGACGUGUCCCCCGAUUUGACAUGCGCAUUUACAUCGUCCUCGCGGCUGUUCCGGUCGUCAUCUUCCUGUUCCGUAUUUGCUGGUCGUGCACCUUCGAGAAGCGUCGUCGCCGGAACAGACGCUCUACGCGUGCGCGACGUCCAGCUCAAGACGAAGAGGCGGUUCACCCGGAAGUGUUUCUUCCUCCGCCGAGCUAUCAGGAACUGUUUGGCUUGAAUGGAGGGCCUUUUUUGUUAUCUCGACAUUAUUCUUUGUGCAGAAAGUGCAAAUCUUCCCAAUGUGGCAUUUUUAGGGACAGACAUUUGACAAAUCUUGACUCUGAAACCUCUAACGAAUCUCUUUCUACUUCAUCUGAACAUGAGCCGGACGUCAUGAUAACAUCAGAAACCACGUCUUCAUCCGCGGGGUCUCCGUCAAUUCGAGAUCGAACUCGCUCAGUGAAAGCAAUUCUUCCGAAAGCAGUGCCCCCACAACGAACACAGACGCCGAGGCUCCCACCUCUCAAACAGUCCAGCCUGCUCAGUGUGACUGCCCUUGCCAUAAACAAGCACCGGAAGUCAGUGUUUAUGACAAUCCCGCAUAUGAACCGGAAGUAGCUAUACAUAAUGGCCGGUCAUCACGGAUACCGGGGAUGCAUUUACCUGUAUUUUCUUUAUUCAGGUCAACAUCUGCUUCCUCCGUGGAAGAAGCCCCACCUCCAAAUUACAAGGAGGCUUUGAAAAUAUUGAACCUUAACAAAAAAAUUCUCUCGUUGAAACACUGUUGUUUUUUCGUCAGAAACACAUAUGGGCAUUUCCAGCUAUCUCGUAUAGAUAUUCAGGGCUGGUCCUUGAAAUAUGAAAACCCCAUCUGAUCACGUGACUACUCGUCAAAGUUACAUCCUUCCGUGAAAUCCUACACCAAGGGGGAGAUAACUAUUUAUGUAGAUAGAUGACAUUAAUAUUAUAAUGUUGAACUGUAUUCGUGUAUCUGUUAUAUCAUUUAUAUCAUGUUUGUGUUGAGAGUUGCUCAAGUUAGUGUACACUGUGAACUUCAACCAGACAAUCCUUCACUGACCUCCUUUUAUACAGUAUCACCUCUCAUUAUCAGUUCAUGUGUGGGGCAUAGGUAGAAAGUUUCCCAAUUAUGCAUGUAUAUCGCUCUUUACUGUUCUCAGCAGUGAAGGAAACUCUUAGUUCGUGGGUCGAUGCUGGUAUUGGGUUUGCAUGUCCCAGAUGAACAUUACCUUUGAAGGCGUUGUGCUUCCACUACGACGAUGUAGAGCUAGCGGUGAAUAUCCCAGAAUAAGGUCUGCUGAUUAAAACUCAAACCGGAAUCACACGUAUAUAUGUUUGACCCAAGGGAAUGUCCACUUUGUAGAGCCGUGAUGUUCAACUGACAUUGCUACACGAACUUAACUGUGUACUUUGAACUUUGUACUUUGAACUUUGUACCCAGACUGAAUUACAUGCGAGGCCAGUGAGACACGUGGGGAAGAUCCUGUGUGACCCGUGACAAAGCAACGUGUAUCUUGUUCUUCUGCUGCUGGGAGGUAUGUUGUUACGAGAUAUGUUGAUGUGAUGCUGUGACGUAAAAUUGAAUUUCCC